CUCUCGGUGGCGAAGGGGUAUCGCGUAGGACUGUAACGGCUAAACCAACCCCCAUCAUCCUCAGAUCGUGUGUUCGAUUCACACCCGAGAGA